rnacentral:rRNA from 1 species
UACAGAGGGUGCGAGCGUUGUCCGGAAUCACUGGGCGUAAAGGGCGCGUAGGUGGUUUGAUAAGGGUGUGGUGAAAGUCCGGGGCUCAACCCCGGAUCUGCCGUGCCGACUGUCAAACUCGAGGGCUGUAGAGGCAGACGGAAUUCCGGGUGUAGCGGUGGAAUGCGUAGAGAUCCGGAGGAAGACCGGUGGCGAAGGCGGUCUGCUGGGCAGUUCUGACACUGAUGCGCGACAGCGUGGGGAGCAAACAGG